rnacentral:rRNA from 1 species
AAAAAUCUUUUUUAUUUUUAAAGACCUUUUUCGGAAGGUAUGCUUAAAGAGGGGCUUGCGUCACAUUAGUUAGUUGGCAGGGUAAAGGCCUACCAAGACUAUGAUGUGUAGCUGGACUGAGAGGUUGAACAGCCACAUUGGGACUGAGACACGGCCCAAACUCCUACGGGAGGCAGCAGUAGGGAAUUUUCGGCAAUGGAGGAAACUCUGACCGAGCAACGCCGCGUGAACGAUGAAGUAUUUCGGUAUGUAAAGUUCUUUUAUUGAAGAAGAAAAAAUAGUGGAAAAACUAUCUUGACGAUAUUCAAUGAAUAAGCCCCGGCAAACUAUGUGCCAGCAGCCGCGGUAAUACAUAGGGGGCGAGCGUUAUCCGGAAUUAUUGGGCGUAAAGGGUGCGUAGGCGGUUUAAUAAGUCUAUAGUUUAAUUUCAGUGCUUAACACUGUCCUGCUAUAGAAACUAUUAAACUAGAGUGAGAUAGAGGCAAGUGGAAUUCCAUGUGUAGCGGUAAAAUGCGUAAAUAUAUGGAGGAACACCACAGGCGUUAGCGGCUUUGCUGGGU